UCGGACAAGCUGUACUGGAAUUGCUCAUAUGAAAAAAUCAUUAAAAGAUCAUUUAUACCUGAUCUUUUUGAUCGUGAUUAUUGUUUAGAUCAUUGACAGGAUUCACAAAUCAAAAUUUCUUCUAAAAUUUUAUUUAGCAUUUUGGGCUACAAUAAGAAAUCGGGCUUUUCUAAAUGCUGGAGAUGUUUAUUGUGUGGACAUAAAUUUUUCAGGAAUUAAACCUGAAGGCAAACCCAAGUCGAACUGGUCGUUAUUUGAGAACUUUAUAUAGUGGAUUUGAGAGGUCAAAAUCUUUGGCGUUGAAUCCAAAAAGGAUUGAUGUUCUGGGCUGAUUCUGGAGAAUCUCUUAAGAUUGCUUUUUCAUCACGAAUGGACGGGACCAAAGUAUCGUUUAUUGUUUCAGAGCGACUUGAUUUAACGUCUAAAUUGGCGAUUGGUAUGCACCAAAUCAUCGAUUGUAUUGGUGUGAUUUACCAAGGAUUGAGCACCGCCAGGUUUACAUUAUUAAGUAAAUCAUCUAUGGUGAUUGAAAUGAUUACAAACAAAAUGCUGAAGGUAUUUUACUUAAAAAUCUUCAUUGAGGACAUGCAAUAAACAUCUGAAUUAAUAAAGAA